GACGAACGCUGGCGGCGUGCUUAACACAUGCAAGUCGAACGAAGUGGCGAACGGGUGAGUAAUACGUGGGUAACCUGCCCUCCUUUUUGGGAUAAGCCUUGGAAACGGGGUCUAAUACCGAAUAAAGGGGGAUGGGCUCGCGGCCUAUCGGCUUGUUGGUGGGGUGAUGGCCUAGCAAGGCGGUGACGGGUAGCCGGCCUGAGAGGGUGACCGGCAACGUUGAGACGGAGAUACGGCCCAGGCUCGGACGGGAGGGGGCAGUGGGGGAUAUGGCACAAUGGGCGAAAGCCUGAUGCAGCGACGCCGCGUGGGGGAUGAGGGCUUUCGGGUUGUAAACCUCUUUCGCAAGCGAACGGGUAGGUGGAGAAGAAGCGCCGGCUAACUACGUGCCAGCAGCCGCGGUAAUUC
rnacentral:rRNA from 1 species